rnacentral:antisense_RNA from 1 species
CACAGUUGGUGAACCUUGGGCCGUCUGCCUCAAGUCCCCGCUUGGCAAAACCACUCCCUCCUGGUGGACGCCCUCACCAUGAAGAGUUAUAGUAAGGUGUUGGUGAGGCUGGCUGCUCUGGUUGCUAAGAGAGACCCGGCCUGCCACACUCCUAAGAGACACAGAAGACCAGCCUACCCCUGCCUUGCCUCCCGUGACACUGCCCUGCAGGUGGCUGGCCAAGAGAAGCCUGCCCGGCGACGCUGAGGCACCGAACAUGAGCAGGGGAGGAAGGAAUGCCUGGGAGCAGCUGAGCCGAGCCCCUGCCACCAGCCUCCUCCGCACGCCCGUGGAAUCAGCACUUUCUGCUUCCCGCCCCUGAGAGCCUUGCUCUGGGGCCACUCACGGCCAAUUAAGUGGGGAUGUUGUAAGAGACUCUAAAAUACGUGGAGCUGGCUGAGGACACGGGACCGACCCCAUUAUGUGUGUGUGAGGCUGAUUAAAGUGUUACCUGUCACCAGGUGUCGCCAA